GACAGAGGAUGCAAGCGUUAUCCGGAAUGAUUGGGCGUAAAGCGUCUGUAGGUGGCUUUUUAAGUCUGCCGUCAAAUCCCAGGGCUUAACCCUGGACAGGCGGUGGAAACUACCAAGCUGGAGUACGGUAGGGGCAGGGGGAAUUUCCGGUGGAGCGGUGAAAUGCGUAGAUAUCGAGAGGAACACCUGCGGCGAAGGCGGGUUGCUGGGCUGAUACUGACGCUGAUGCGCGAAAGCCAGGGGAGCGAACGGG
rnacentral:rRNA from 1 species